AUCGGUAAGCAAGUUUUGAAAGUGAGAUCUCUGAAAUCUAGAAGAGAAGUCCUAUUGGGCCUGGGAGGAAAAGGACCUGAUAUGAGUUGGUUCCUUCUUCCUCGAUUAGCCUCAUGGAAAGGACCUUGGGAAAUAGAAGGUUAGAGCUGAAAAGGACCUUAGAACAUAUAAUGCCAGAGUCUAAAGAAAAUCUGAAAACACAGCAUGUUGGAACAUACAAUGUUAGUGCCAGAAAGGCCUAGAGACAUCAUCUAGUUCAACCCUUUUUUCAGGGGAGAAAAUUGAAACCCCAAAAUGGGAAGUGAUUUACUUGAGAUCACACAGAGAGAACUUGCCUUGAUGUCUAGAUCUAAAAGGGACCUCAGAGCUAAACCUCCUUUUAUAGAGGAGGAAACUGAGGCCCAGGGAGGUGAAGGAACUUGUCUAGGGUCCUCCAGAUAGUAUGUAUCAAAUGUGGGAUCUAAACCCAGGUCCUCCAUCUCCAAUGGCAAUGUUCUUCCAGUGGUUCUGUGCUGCCUUCCCCUUGGGGGAGAGGGGCCUGUUCAGUUUAGCACUAGAGGAGAAAAGUGGUAGAGAGGUAGCUACUACCUUUGAGAAGAACCUCUCAAACAACUAGAGCUAUCUCAAAGUCUUCUCAAUUCCCACUCAAAAGUAUCUUUAAGUGAAGGCUGGAUGAACAUUUGGGUAGGACCUGGGCCUUGAAGAUGAAAACAAGUAUCCAUUCACUCUAGUAGCAUAGUCAAACCAUAGCAUGUCCUCCUUCACACACAGCCCCAGUAGUUCCAUUCAUCCCUUUCCUAGGGCACAUUUCCACCCAUCCUUGACUCCCUUACUUCUUCUGUUACAGGCUAUGGUGGCAUGUAUGGCUAUGGAGCAGGUCUCAGAGGAGGAGCCAAACCAGAGAAAACAGGCUAUGGAAAUGGAUUGGGAGCAGGAGCUUUCCCAGAGGCUGGACUGCAGCCAGGGAGUGGAACCCCAAAUGGUUUUGGAGCAGGCCUGGGUGGUGUGAAGCCUCAUAAAGCAGUUUAUAGCAAUGGACUAGGAGCUGGAACCUUUCCUGGGGCCAGGGCCCAGUACACAGGUUUCCCAGGGGCUGGAAGUUAUCCAGCCAAUGGCUACAGCAAUGGAUAUGGAGCUGGAGAAGCUGGAUACCCUAAAUCUUCCCUUUAUGAAAAUGGUGGGGCUAGCUCCUUUGGUCCUCAAGCGGUCCCCUUUCUCCCUGGAGGUUCAGACUCUGGAGCCAAGGCUGUUAAACAUGAUUAUGGAAAUGGGGUGGGCGCAGCUUCCUACCCUGCAGAUGGAAGCCCACCAGGUCUCUAUGGUCAGUUAAGACCAGAGUCAGUCCCUGGGACUUAUGGUGGACCAGAUGUGAAGCACAACUUCAAUGGCUUCCUAGGAAAUGGCUAUGGAGGUCGAUGUCCUCCAGGGAAAUGUUGAGCCUAAAGAUGUCCCUCCAAUAUCCCCAAUCUGAAGAUCUUCAGGGGAGCUUGGAGCCCAAGACUCCCUGGCCACCUUUCUUGCAAUCAGGCUUUUUGGAAAGAAACAGGCUCUUUGGGAAGGGAGUCUCCCCUCUGCCCCAGGAGGGUCCUUCUUUGGUCUCUUAAACCCAGCCUUAUAAAGGGCCCCUCAAGGUAGAGAGUAGGAGGAAAUCCUGGGUCUGUUAAUAAAAGGAUUCAAUUCACAAGUUUGACUCUGGCA
rnacentral:lncRNA from 1 species